UACGAAGGGGGCUAGCGUUGUUCGGAAUCCCUGGGCGUAAAGGGCGCGUAGGCGGCGCGACAAGUCAGGCGUGAAAGCCCCGGGCUCAACCCGGGAAUUGCGCUUGAUACUGUCGUGCUUGAGGCCGGGAGAGGAUGGCGGAAUUCCCAGUGUAGAGGUGAAAUUCGUAGAUAUUGGGAAGAACACCGGUGGCGAAGGCGUCUCACUGGCCCGUUACUGACGCUCAGGCGCGACAGCGUGGGGAUCAAACAGG
rnacentral:rRNA from 1 species